GACGAACGCUGGCGGCGUGCCUAAUACAUGCAAGUCGAGCGGACCAAACAGGAGCUUGCUCUUGUUUGGUUAGCGGCGGACGGGUGAGUAACACGUGGGUAACCUGCCCGUAAGACCGGGAUAACUCCGGGAAACCGGAGCUAAUACCGGAUAACACCGAAGACCGCAUGGUCUUUGGUUGAAAGGCGGCUUCGGCUGCCACUUACGGAUGGGCCCGCGGCGCAUUAGCUAGUUGGUGAGGUAACGGCUCACCAAGGCGACGAUGCGUAGCCGGCCUGAGAGGGUGACCGGCCACACUGGGACUGAGACACGGCCCAGACUCCUACGGGAGGCAGCAGUAGGGAAUCUUCCGCAAUGGACGAAAGUCUGACGGAGCGACGCCGCGUGAGCGAAGAAGGUCUUCGGAUCGUAAAGCUCUGUUGUUAGGGAAGAAGAAGCGCCGUUCGAACAGGGCGGCGCGGUGACGGUACCUAACGAGAAAGCCCCGGCUAACUACGUG
rnacentral:rRNA from 1 species